AAAAGUUAUAGCCGUUUGAAGUUAAGGUGUUUAUUUAAGACAUACUGUUACUCUUUUGAGAAUACGAGGAGUUUUACAGCAGCUUUUGAAGAUCGGAAGAUACAACUAGAACGGCGAUUUCAAGGUCUACAUCUUUCACGAAAGAAUUAUUGCUUUUGGAGUUUAUAUGAAGGAGUUGUAAGGAGUUGAAGGCAGCGCUUCCAAAUCAAAGGCAGUAAGUAAGCGGUUUUGUUUGUAGUAAUGGUUGGAGCCAUAACUUGAGUAUUCAGACGAAUUUUUGGCUCAAAAUUUUGGAAAAUGUAAAUUUUUGUGUUAAGAAGC
rnacentral:lncRNA from 1 species